UCGAGAGAUAUCGGAAGAGUUUUCUUUUCUGUUUUAUAGCCGUACUACCAUGGAAGUCUUUCGCAGAGAGAUAUGGUAGAUGGGCUAGAAGAGCAUGACAUAUACUGUUGUGUCGAUAUUUUCUCCUCGGACCUUGAAAAUUUAUGGUGGGGACACGCAAACUUCUCAACAGGCCGUACCAAUAUCCGCAGCUGGUCUCCAAGGUGAAGAGUCUCUAGUCGAUAGAAUAAUGUAGGUAAGGGAAGUCGGCAAAUUAGAUCCGUAACUUCGGGAUAAGGAUUGGCUCUGAAGAUUGAGAUAGUCGGGCUUGAUUGGGAAACAAUAACAUGGUUUAUGUGCUCGUUCUGGGUAAAUAGAGUUUCUAGCAUUUAUGUUAGUUACUUGUUCCCCGGAUAGUUUAGUUACGUAGCCAAUUGUGGAACUUUCUUGCUAAAAUUUUUAAGAAUACUAUUUGGGUUAAACCAAUUAGUUCUUAUUAAUUAUAACGAUUAUCAAUUAACAAUCAAUUCAGAACUGGCACGGACUUGGGGAAUCCGACUGUCUAAUUAAAACAAAGCAUUGUGAUGGCCCUAGCGGGUGUUGACACAAUGUGAUUUCUGCCCAGUGCUCUGAAUGUCAAAGUGAAGAAAUUCAAGUAAGCGCGGGUCAACGGCGGGAGUAACUAUGACUCUCUUAAGGUAGCCAAAUGCCUCGUCAUCUAAUUAGUGACGCGCAUGAAUGGAUUAACGAGAUUCCUACUGUCCCUAUCUACUAUCUAGCGAAACCACAGCCAAGGGAACGGGCUUGGAAUAAUUAGCGGGGAAAGAAGACCCUUUUGAGCUUGACUCUAAUCUGGCAGUGUAAGGAGACAUAAGAGGUGUAGAAUAAGUGGGAGAUAUUAGACCUCGGUUUGGUAUCGUCAAUGAAAUACCACUACUCUUAUUGUUUCCUUACUUACUUGAUUAAAUGGAACGUGUAUCAUUUCCUAGCCAUUAUACGGAUAUAUUUAUUAUAUCUUAUGGUAUUGGGUUUUGAUGCAAGCUUCUUGAUCAAAGUAUCACGAGUUUGUUAUAUAAUCGCAAACAAAUUCUUUAAUAAAACGAUGCAUUUAUGUAUUUUUGAUUUGAAAAUUUGGUAUAACUCCAAUUACUCAGGUAUGAUCCAAUUCAAGGACAUUGCCAGGUAGGGAGUUUGACUGGGGCGGUACAUCUCUCAAAUAAUAACGGAGGUGUCCCAAGGCCAGCUCAGUGCGGACAGAAACCACACAUAGAGCAAAAGGGCAAAUGCUGACUUGAUCUCGGUGUUCAGUACACACAGGGACAGCAAAAGCUCGGCCUAUCGAUCCUUUUGGUUUAAAGAGUUUUUAACAAGAGGUGUCAGAAAAGUUACCAUAGGGAUAACUGGCUUGUGGCGGCCAAGCGUUCAUAGCGACGUCGCUUUUUGAUCCUUCGAUGUCGGCUCUUCCUAUCAUUGUGAAGCAAAAUUCACCAAGCGUUGGAUUGUUCACCCAUGCAAGGGAACGUGAGCUGGGUUUAGACCGUCGUGAGACAGGUUAGUUUUACCCUACUAAUGACAAAACGUUGUUGCGACAGCAUUCCUGCGUAGUACGAGAGGAACCGCAGGUACGGACCAAUGGCACAAUACUUGUUCGAGCGAACAGUGGUAUGACGCUACGUCCGUUGGAUUAUGCCUGAACGCCUCUAAGGUCGUAUCCGUGCUGGACUGCAAUGAUAAAUAAGGGGCAAUUUGCAUUGU
rnacentral:rRNA from 1 species